CGUCCUAAUUUGGAGAAGGCUCUUGACUCGUUUUUGAAAGGCGCUGCUCGUGGCUCUACACUGGCCAUGGUUGAUGCUGGGCUUGUUUACUGGGAAAUGGGUCAGAAGGAGAAGGCGAUUUCCUUGUAUCGCAAAGCCGCGGAGCUUGGGGAUCCUGCAGGGCAAUGUAAUUUGGGAAUUUCUUAUUUGAAAGCCAAACCCCCAAAACAGAAGGAAGCCAUUAAAUGGUUGUCAGAAGCAUCCAUUGCUGGGCAUGUUCGUGCUCAAUACCAACUUGCACGUUGUCUACAUCAAGGUGGUGGGGUGGAUCAUAAUCUACAGGAGGCUGCUAAAUGGUAUCUAAAAGCAGCUACUGGUGGGUGUGUACGUGCAAUGUACAAUGUGGCCCUAUGUUACUCAGUUGGGGAAGGUUUGUCCCAGAGUCGUCAACAAGCAAGGAAAUGGAUGAAACGUGCUGCUGAUGGUGGCCAUAGCAAAGCACAAUUUGAGCAUGGACUUGGCCUUUUCUCUGAAGGAGAGAUGAUGAAAGCUGU
rnacentral:misc_RNA from 1 species